GGAUUAGUGGCGAACGGGUGAGGAACACGUGAGAAACCUGCCUUUCAUUCUGGGAUAACACCGGGAAACCGGUGCUAAUACCGAAUAUUGAAACAUAAGUGGCAUCACUGAGUUUUGAAAGAAUUUCGGUGGAGGAUGACUUCGCGGCCUAUCAGCUAGUUGGUGAGGUAAUGGCUCACCAAGGCAACGACGGGUAGCCGGCCUGAGAGGUCGACCGGCCACACUGGGACUGAGACACGGCCCAGACUCC
rnacentral:rRNA from 1 species